UUCACAAGUAAUGACUUUAUUAAUAACUAAAUAUAUUCAGCCACCUUUCUAAAUGUAUAGAAAACAAAGACACAGAAAUAUAGAUCUGCAUUAUGGUCCCUGAUGGGUAGCAGAAAGCUAGGCUUUAACUAUAAAACUCAUAUCCUCAAGGAGGAAAGGCAAAGUAGAAAAACAGGUAAAGUGAUACAACUGAGUUUAGAUCAAAUACCCUAUGGAACAUUUCCAGGGCUGAGGAGCUAAGGGUGGGGAUGAAGGGAGUGAAAGCUGGCAAACGGCACAUGCACUAUUUACACCAGGAGGAAACCUUCAUCUCUGCCAUUAACUACUUUCAAGGACAAUUCCAAGUUUUAAUGUGCCCAUCUUCAGUCACCUCCCCACUUCCAGGUCUGGAAGUUCUUCUAACAUGGCAUCUCUUUGCACCAUUAAAAUGAAUUAUAGUUCUCUUCCUCCCCAAAAGGUCCGUAAUUACCCACUUUUUCCUACACAAGCUUCUUGGGAACUUCCUAGGAAAACAGAAAAACUGUCUUCUAAAAAUUGCUCCCCUUAGCUUCCCAAGAUCCUGACCUAAAAAUUCUUUCACAUCUAUAACUUGAACACUCUCUCAGCCAUGGAUUCAAAGAAUUCAGUAAAUACAUACUUCCAGCUCUGUCCCUUAGGAAUCACCAUCUCUUAAACUGCUACCCUUUAUUUGAGCUCCUCCACUCUAUUACACCAUUUUGGUCUGUCUUCUAUUUCUAAUUCAGUUCAUGACUCUAGUUCCCCAGUUGCCUCAGAGGAUUUGAGUGAGAAACCAAGAGUUCAGAAGAAUUGUACUAGUUUCCAUAGGUGUCCAGAAAAAUAAUCAAGUGCAAAUUUUAUAAAGCAUGCAUACACAAAAAACAUUUGACAUUACUGACUUUAAAAUAUAAAAAACAAAAAUAUACCAUACUAUACUGAAUUUCUGCUGGAUGAGGUAAUUAAAUGCCCAGCUUUCUCUUCCUCUAUACUUUCUUAUAAAAAAA